CAGGAAAUGAAAGUUGAACCAGAUAACAUUCAAACAUAAAUGCAAUGCUCUUUGAAAUCAACACUGACUCAAAAACUGAUAUAAUUCUGCAACUAAAUGAUUACAGCUUUCUCAAUGAGGCCAUCGUAGACAAAACAUUGAACUUACAUUGCAAAAACGUGCCAGCGCGAGAUCUUUCGGUCAUAGUUGCUGUGAAGAUGAGUCAAUUGUAACUCCAGGAUUCAUAGUUUGCUUACCAUUCUGAAUAUGAGUAAGAGAAAUCCAAUCUUCCAACAUUCUCGCUUCUGCAGUAUCAAUGAGGUAGUAUCUGUUGACAUCAGGCAACAGUUCAUCCCUCUAUUAGCAUUUGGCAGAAACAGGUCACCAUAUUACUUCCAAAAUACGCUUAUUUAGCCUCCUAAGACUUGGUUCCUUCUGAAGAAACUUUGUUGAAGAAUUUAGUUAUUGAAGCUUGCUUUGGGCCUCCAGAUUCUACCUUAGAAGAAGCUUUUCCUUUCUUCUUUGGUUUACCUUUAAUCUUUCUGUUCCUCUUCACAGGAGAAAUACUGCUCUUCUGUGAACUACUCAUGCUCUUAAGCUUGUGAAACUGCGAUGGCUGACAACUUUCACUCCGCUCUGUUUCACAGUGAAUAAACUCCAGUUUCGAAACAAAUGCAUCGUGGUUACUCGAACUAAUUCCAUCUCUAGAAGUGAAAGAUAUAACAGCAGAAACUUGCUCAUAGAAUUUAGUCUCGUGCUCGUAAAAAUUAUCAACAAUUUCGACUAUAUUCCUACAUGUCCCUCUAAUCAUA